rnacentral:rRNA from 1 species
AUUGAACGCUGGCGGCAGGCCUAACACAUGCAAGUCGAACGAGUGGCGGACGGGUGAGUAAUGGCGGGGAAAAUGCCUGACGGAGGGGGAUAACUACUGGAAACGGUAGCUAAUACCGCAUAACAUCAGAUGUGACCAGAGGGGAUUAGCUAGUUGGUGGGGGAACGGCUCACCAAGGCGACGAGCCCUAGCUGGUCUGAGAGGAUGACCAGCCACACUGGAACUGAGACACGGUCCAGACUCCUACGGGAGGCAGCAGUGGGGAAUAUUGCACAAUGGGCGCAAGCCUGAUGCAGCCAUGCCGCGUGAUUGAAGAAGGCCUUCGGGUUGUAAAGUACUUUCAGCUGGGAGGCGUUACCUGCAGAAGAAGCAACGGCUAACUCCGUGCCAGCCGCCGCGGUAAUUC